GUUAUUUGCAGGAUACUUUAUAAGAGGGCAGUGCAGUACAUAAACUAAAUUAGGCAUCACAUCAUCGAACAAACAAACAUGAUUACUGAUUUGCAUCAACAUACAGCAAUGUCAUACUGGAUGUUACUAUCUGAGGCCAUGAUACUUCCCAGACAGAUUCCCUAAUACAAGUUAUGACUGAAGCAUCAGUACAGUGACACACAUGGCAAGGAACAUGCUGGUCGCAAUAAUUGUGGUUAUGUCCUAGUCACCGGUAGCAUGAACCUCUGCCACACCAACCCACUUCUACUGAU